rnacentral:tRNA from 1 species
GCCAAGAUAGCUCAGUUGGUAGAGCAGCGGUAUCGUAAACCGCAGGUCCAGGGUUCAAAUCCCUGUCUUGGCUCCA